rnacentral:rRNA from 1 species
AUUGAACGCUGGCAGCAUGCUUUACACAUGCAAGUCGAACGGCAGCACGGACUUCGGUCUGGUGGCGAGUGGCGAACGGGUGAGUAAUACAUCGGAACGUACCCAGUAAUGGGGGAUAACUAUACGAAAGGAUAGCUAAUACCGCAUACGCCCUACGGGGGAAAGAGGGGGAUCGCAAGACCUCUUGUUAUUGGAGCGGCCGAUGGCUGAUUAGCUAGUUGGUGGGGUAAAGGCCUACCAAGGCAACGAUCAGUAGCGGGUCUUAGAGGACGAUCCGCCACACUGGAACUGAGACACGGUCCAGACUCCUACGGGAGGCAGCAGUGGGGAAUCUUGGACAAUGGGCGCAAGCCUGAUCCAGCAAUGCCGCGUGCGUGAAGAAGGCCUUCGGGUUGUAAAGCGCUUUUGUCAGGGAGCAAAUCCUUGUGGCUAAUACCCACCGGGGAUGAGAGUACCUGAAGAAUAAGGACCGGCUAACUACGUGCCAGCCGCCGCAGUAAAAC